GACGAACGCUGGCGGCGUGCCUAAUACAUGCAAGUAGGACGCAGUUGCGAACGGGUGAGUAACGCGUAGGUAACUGCCUGUUAGAAGGGGGUAACUAUUGGAAACGAUACCUAAUACCGCAUACUAGUAGCUGGACCUGCGUUGUAUUAGUUAGUAGGUAGGGUAAUGGCCUAACUAGGCGACGAUACAUAGCCGACCUGAGAGGGUGAUCGGCCACAAUGGGACUGGUGACCGGCCCAGACCCCUACGGGAGGCAGCAGGAGGGAAACUUCGGCAAUGGGGGGAACCCUGACCGAGCAACGCCGCGGGAGUGAAGAAGGUUUUCGGAUCGGAAAGCUCUGUUGUUAAGGAAGCGGUACUUAACCAGAAAGGGACGGCUAACUACGUGCCAGCCGCCGCGGUAAUAC
rnacentral:rRNA from 1 species